AAACACAUCCUGUGAACAAGAGGAAACGCAGACAUGUUGGUCAAGCUGAUCAUUUUCUUUGUCGAUCUCAUGCUUGCUUCAGCUGUUGUUGCUACCCUGUACACUCUCUACUUGAUAGUUGCCACCGGGGCUUUCAUGUUAGCUAUUCUUUACAUUUUCACAGGAGACAUGAGGAAAAACUAUAACCUCCGGAAGAACCGCAGCUGGGUGCUGGAAUCUAGCAAUGCUACAGGGAAACCACUGGCUGAAAACAGAGAGAGAGUCAGCUCCCUGAUGCUUCCUGGACACUUUCCAGCCUUCCGGCCCAUGGAGAAUGAGUCUUCCUUCUAAAGAGACAGAAUUCAGUGGAAGAACCAUGUGGGAGGACUUCCAGGAUGCUGUCAACAGCAAAAAGUGUUUCUCUAAGCUUUGGUUCAAUGAAAGCAAAAAGUGUGAUUUUGUCUGGCUUUCUGUAUGAUAAAUGUCUACCCUGGGUACCCUGGGUUUGAGAUCUUAUGGCAUUCCCAGCACACCAUCAACAGUCCAUGGUUCUACCUCAUUCCAGAUUCUUCUGCAACCAGAGAAGGCACAGCCCCCUUGGUUUCUAGAUGGAUUCCAGAAACACAUAUAUUCUAAAUUCAGUUAGGUGAUGAUUCAUUUCUAAGACUUAUGUACCAGUUACUAAAACAGGGGACUAUGGGGUCUAUUUUAUAGUCAUUUGACUCAGAGGGACCCCAACAGUUGUCUAAUUUGUUUCUCACCCAGAUAAGAAAUAUCUUCUGCAAUAGACCCAAGAGAGAACUUCCCAGUUUCUCCAGAGACAUUUGCAUGAGAGUCUGUUUCUCACAAGGCAGCCUGUUCUUGAGAAGUUCUUUGUAAUAUCCAGGGAAAUCUAAGUCCUGACACGCAUGUCUUUGCCCCAUUUCUGUUCUGCUAUGCAACCCAAAAUAAAAUUACUUCACUGGAACUCAGAUUCAGAGAAGAAAAGGGCGUCUCUCCUCAUGGAUUUCCACUUACUGCUUAAAGUAGUGAAUAGGCUGGCUUUUCAUAUACAAAUAGGAGCGGCUAAAAUUAUAAUGCCCAGGUUAUG